CGCUAAUCAUGGACUUCAUUUUUCCCCUGGGUCAGCUGGGACCAUCUUGUGGGACGCAGGAAGAGGUCUCCUCUCCAGAGAAGCACAAGUUUCUGUCAGGUUCCAGGAAUAUUAAUAGUCAUACCUGGUCAUUUCGUGGAGGGGCAUUAGGAAAAUGUUGAGCUCCUUGGGCGACUGGAUUUCCAGCCUUCAUGAGCUGCAGGAUCAGAAGUUAUAUUCAGAGACCAAUAAAGAAGAGAAGAGGUCUUCCGGCAAGCGUUUCUCUUCGGGUCCCUUAAACGCCAGCGACCCCACGCCUCUCCUGACUGACACCCAGCUGUGGGCUUGCUUGGCUCAAGGAAGAAUCACGGAUCCGUGAGCUUCAGCAGAAGGUUUCCAUUGAUGUCAGCAGUGGUAAUGAUUAAGUGGAAACACCCCACCCCAUUCAAACGUCUCCCUUUCCCGGCCGAUCCCCAUUGUGAGCGAAGGUGCAGUGUGUCAGCCAACGUUUCUCCCAGAGCUUCAGCCAGAGUGCAAGUGAGGUGAACCUGGAGAAAAUAAGGCCUUCUGACUCGAAUCACGCCACCACCCUUUCAGCGCUCCAGAUGUCGGCCUCUGCCCCCCUCUCGGAAGCGGCCAGCCUUGGAAGAGCCCAGAACAGAUAUUCCACUACGAAGUAUGACAAAUGCAGAAGGGUAUGCGUUUAUAAAAGUCCAUCAGGAUGUACACUUCGGAUGUGUGCUUCUUACUGCAUGUAAACUCUAACCCAAUAGAAAACUUUUGGGAAAAGCAGAAUUCUAGAUCACGUUCUAACUAGUGUAGGAUUUAGGGGUGGAGACAAGCAAGGAUGCCAUUACCCACUUUAAGAUCCCGAUUUUCUGGAUUGCAUUUGACAAGAAGACAUCAACACAAGGAAGAAUGGGUGCCUACUGUUGUUUCAAAAAAAAAAAAAAAAAAGACAAUAAAAGGUCAGUAAGGCACCCCACCCCCUACUACUUGCUCUCACAUUCUCAAUCCCUCCAAGGGAUUUAAAAAAGAAAAGCCCAGGAAAUUCCAAGCAUGACUACCUCCCCAGAUAAGACAGAAAUGGAAGAAAACCAAACUUUUUAAAGUAAGCAUUUUGAUCUUCAUGCAAACAUGGAGUUAAUCUUGGGACAGCUAAGCACAAUUACACAGAUGAAUUCAUUGUGUGAAAUGGUCAUUGAGCGUAGAGAAUGUUAGUGGCUGUUCAGAGUCCAAGCUCUGUAGGGGUCAUACCUGAAUCUGCUGAGUUGAGCACAUGGAAACCUCAGUGUGCAUUCAGGCUUGACCAUUCUUUUUAAUUUAUUUCAGAGUUGCUCUCAGGGUGGCUUCGGGAAAUGCAAAUCGAACGUCCAUAGUGGUGUCUGAAGACGUGCAGGGUUUUGACACGUGUUAAAUUGCAACUAUAAAUAAAAAUCUUUGGGCCUGUAUUUACAUAUAUUAAAGCUGUUCUUAAGAUAAUAAGAUGAUUUUUAUAAUCCCUUACUCUUCAAAUCAGCUUUUAUUCAUACAGAGAGGACGCAAGCGUUAGACUGGACGUGAUGGCAGCUGGGUUCUGGCUCCGGUUCCGUCUCAAAUUCUCCAGGAGUCCUGGGGUCCUUCCUUUGUGGACUCAGGGCCUCCCCACCUGUCAGCUGAGGAGUUUGGACCACAGGGUCUGGCUCUUAGUUCUGAGGCUGCAACUCAAUGGAGUUUGGAAAUACCACUUUAUCUCCAGGAUUUUAUUCUAAGCAAAUUGGAUAUAUUUCUACAAUGUAAAAUACAUGUGACUCUACAGCCUGAUUGGCCUCCCAAACCCACAUACUUGGGGCCACAGUUGGAAAGAACUCAAGUCUUUGUUUUAAACACCUGUCCCUGGUCCCACCAAGAGAAAACUCUAAACUCCUCAAGUAUCAUUGGCCAUGGUGAACGUGCAAAAUUCAGCACUACAAAGGAACCACAUUCCUGAGAGGUUUCUUUCCAUGUUUAUAACAGUGAAAUGUGUGCCCUGAAAGAGGCCUUAGCAAGCAUGGAGGCCCAGAGAGAUUAAUCAGCUUGCCCAAGAUCACACAGGAAGCAGGAGGGAAUGAGGACUGAAACCUAAGUCUCCUCACCCCCAGCCUGGUCGGGACUCCUGCACAUGCCCUCAGGAGUUAGAAACGCUCACCUUUUGGAUUUAUCUUUCCCCAUUUACCUACACCCUUCACAGGGCAUGGAAAUGUUGAGUUUUGUCUUUUAGAGUUCCAGCUUGGUGAAAUUCACUAGAGAAGUGGAUAUUGAGGAAAAACUCCCGGUUGCCUAAUCUGUAGGAGAGUGUCACAGAAGAAAUGUUGGGAGCUGUCUCUUCCUUGUCCCCAGAAGCACAGUAACUAGGAGACAAGAGAAGGAAAGGCGGCCCGGACCCCUCAGGAACCAAGCAGGUGCAGCCUCGGCUGGAGACGUCUGUGCCGACAUCCUAAGUUUGAAUCAGAGCAGGGCCCUGGUGUGCUGGUGGAGCUUGGGCCUUUGGAAAACAAGUUGGAGUAAAACCAAACCUGGGUAUGUCCCACAGCAUCCCCUGAUCUCUCAUCUUUGGGAAAGGGACUCCCAUUUCCAGCAUUCUUAAGUGCUUGAGCUGUGGGCGCCUGGGUGGCUCAGUCAUUAAGUGUCUCCCUUUGGCUCAGGUCAUGGUCCCAGGGUCCUGGGAUUGAGCCCCGCAUCGGGCUCCCUGCUCAGCGGGGAGCCUGCUUCUCCCUCUCCCACUCCCCCUGCUUGUGUUCCCUCUCUCUCUGUGUCUCUCUCUGUCAAAUAAAUAAAUAAAAUAUUAAAAAAAAAAUGCUUGAGCUGCCAACACAUCUGUCUGCCAAAGUCAGGGCUCGUGCACAAAGCGCCACACCUCUACUCAAACGCACUUGAAUUUGGGGACCAUGUCUGCUACAUGUCCUCUGGGGAGGGAAGGCAGGGCCUGGAGGCAAGGACAAGAGCUGUCAGCCAGAGCGGGCAGAAAUUAUGCUGAGUCUGAGAGAAGCUAGCCUG